AGGGCUCUUCUCAUCCUGCACCUGCUCCCGUGUGACGUCCACCAGCAGCGCUCUCCCUCACCCUCCGUCCCCCGCCCGGUCUCCCUUCUGAGCUCUAGGUGCAAACAGCCAGCUGCCCCCAGGGCAUCUCCGUGGGGGGCUCCACGGCACCCUGCAUGCCCACGCCCCAAAUAACUUUUCACCUCCCUCUGCCUGCUAACCUCCAGCUUGCUCCCCUCCCCGAGUAUAUUCCAGGAGGGCUGGGACCAUCAUCCGCCCUCCCCUGAGCCCAGUAGCGCCCCCUGCUCUGUGAAAAGAGCCCCCCCCCCACCAUGACCCCAAGCAUCCCCACCAGGCUGAGCCAGGGGUCGGAGCUGCCGGUGAGGAGGGAGCGAGCAGUCAGUACCUGAGAAAUGGCUCGCUUGGGAGAAACACUUAACACUCAGCCAACAGAGCACGCUCUUUCUUAACACAGUGGAGAGAAAACAGAAGGAAGGAUGUUGGGGGGAGGCGCGCAGCUCCACGGGGGAAGCUGAGUCAGGGUCAAGGAUGACGCUGGCCCUGACGGUGCUAAUUAAACCGUAAGCGUUUCAUGGUCUCCAGGACGCCGUGGGAAAAGGAGGAUAUGAAACAAGGAGUUCAAGCCGAGGGUUGUUGGGAAAUAGGUGGGCCGGCGAGUUCCUCCUGAGUUUAGAGGAAGGGGGCCCCCGUGCGGGCAGGGGGAGCCGGGGAAGGCCCCUCUUGAGCCUGGAGCUCCGGUGGGUUCUGCCCAGCUCACGGGGUGAGUGGGGCCGCAGGGUGAGAGCACCUCUCAUCCGGGAAGGGCCCGCAGCCCUACGUGGCCUCACGCCGGGCUCACGCUCUGCUGCGCUCACCUGGGUGGUCACGAACACAUCCAGGUUCUGCAUUCCGGGCGGGAACCCGACCGAAGUCAAGUGCCCUGUUUUCUCAGCCCGUCGCAUCAGCAGGUGCCUGAAGUCAGCGCAUCCCCGAUUCCCUAGUGGCCUAGUUCAGGCGGGCGGGCCAGGCUUCCCCGCCCUGACGUUGGUCUUCCUCCCCUUGUAACCCAGGAGCGCUGGCUCUCGGGGCGGUGCUCGCGGCCAGCGUGAACGUGCUAAGUCUGUCGAACCGUCACCUGCACGUUCUGGCGUCCGCCGAUGACGAUCCGAAUCCAUCGUUACUCUGAUCGUUGCUGGAAGUCGACGUUCUGGUUAAUUCAUUCCUUCGGUCCAAAGGGAGAGACAUUUUCCAAAGUAACCGGCUUGUAUUCCUUAAACAUAUUGAUCUCGUGACAACCUGCGGGGCUGUUCCGGAUUAAAGGGGCCCGAAGAGAACCAGCAACUGGAUGCAGUGUGUGAUCCUGGACCAGGAUUCCUUUGUCCUUUCCUCUAAAGGACAUUGCUGGGACAACUGGUGGCAUUUGAAGAAGGCCUGGAUAUUCUGUGAAAUUAGAAGCCUUCUGAAUCAGUGCUCUAUUUUGAGCACAAAGUCAAGAUUUUUGUGGCCGCAGCCAAAGAUGUUCACGUGGAGAGCUGCUGAGCUGGCUUGUUGAUUCAGGCCCCGACGAUUCCUCAGGUCUUUCUGGAAAUAACAGGGUCAUUGACAUGUAACGCGGUUAUAAAACCUGUGACGAGGCGCCCGUCUAGUGACAGCAGGGCCGAGCCAGCCGAUACCUCCGUGACCGAGUCCCCGUAACGUGAGUACCUCGCGCCAUCCCGUGUAACCCCCAGGACAAAUCUGCAAGAUAAGCUGUGCCAUCCUGAGUUUUCACAUGAGAAAAUGGAAGCUCAGAGAAGAUGAAUAUCCUUUGCCCAAAGAUCCAUGGUGAGUACAAGAGGUGAGCUUUAAACUCAGUCGUCUGUCUAGAGGGCUCUAGUAUUCCGCUCUGUGUACUUCGACGGUAAGUAGAGAGACACCCAGACCUCCUUCUUCUUGGCCCCAAGUUCUUUUACCAGACUGGGUUUGGUGCCCCGAUUGUAUAAGAACGUAUUGCCUUUAGCACCUCUUUCCCCUUGUGGCUGCUACCUCAGCAACCCCAUCGAGCAGGAAAGCGAACAUGUUCAAGAUUUCACUCAGCUUGGCCGUUCGAUCUCUCCGCCAUGUGUGGGCUGAACCUCUUUGGGACCAACGCUGGGCAGGGUCGCCAUGUCCCCGCUGAGACGGCCAGGUGGCUACAGUACUCGGUAGCCCUGCGUCCUGCCCUCUCCUACAGUUUCCAAUCUCAUUUGGCUCCUUGUGAAUUACGCGACAUCUGAGCCUGUGAGAGCAGGUGUUCCCGCCCCCUCAGGGGACCUGAAAGGCAGCCCUGGGGCAUGAGCCCUUCGUGGGGGGACCGUUAGACCAUUUCCGACAAGCACCUAACAAGACAUCUCCUGCAGCCGAGUCAGCCCUCCCUACUCCCGGGCAGUCACCGAAGCCAUGUGCCCUGGUGGGUUCUUAUAGAAGCAUCCACACCAGUCCAUCUGAGGACCCUAUGGGCCUGACCCCCACAUAGGAUUGAUGCAAAGUGGCAGGGAGUUGAAGACCCCAGGCAUAACCUUGAACUCAUGAACCCACAGAAGUUGGUAAAUUAAGGUCCUGGACACUUUGACCCUCGGGUGGGACAAGGCUAAGGUGUGUUGUCCACUUUCCACCCAUCUCAAGACCAACGGGGUUGAUCCAGCACUGUCCAUGGCAAUGACUUCAGUAAAACACCCCACGUUGGCUUGCUUCUCUUCUGUCUUACUUGCGCUCCUUAUCAGGGCUUGCUGGGAACAGCCCCUAGUACAUUCCUUGGACUCAGACCCUAGUCUCAGGGUGGACUUGGGAGGAACUGACCUUGGACACCCCCCAACCCCCUUCCCUGUAUCCCAAGUGCAGCCAGCAUACUGCUGGGCUCUCUCAGGGAAUGCCGUUGACAGAGUUGAGGGCAGUCGUCCCUGGGCCCCCGCUUAGACUUUUCCAUGCCAGAAACCUAUUGUUCCAGCCAGACAGCAUCCAUCAGGAGCUCCUGGAGGACACAGGAGGUAGGGAUCAGGGUGGGACACCAGAAAUGUCAGUGAAUUUCUAUUGCAAUGUGUCCACACUGAAAGAGGUUCCAACAGAAGGUCUCCUGUUCCAACUCUAAGCCAGAUGAGGCUCUUCAACAAAGAGGGUCCUCUAUCCACCCAGAGGGCAUCUGGAUUAUUGCAGAUUGACAAUGUUUCAGAUGAGAAAGAACAGUAAGAUGUUUCUUUUUCCUCCUUGAACUCCCUUCCUUCUCUAUCCCAGGUCGUAUGUUCCAUUAAGUCAUCUGGAUGAUUUCUGGGGAGGCACGGGACUCCAACGUCAUGCACCCCACUUCUGCUGGCCGACACUUGGGGACCGCCGGGUCCUGACCUCAGCACACUGGAUGGUGGAGUGGGUGACUGUGUGCGUCCGUUUCCUCCAGCGAACACGGCAUCCGGGAGCGAGAGCGUUCACUUUGUCAAAGGUUCAGAAAUAACAGAAGUAAAACCAGUGAAUCACCGUGGUAGCAAUCAGUAAAAGUUUAUCAUGCACACACCAAAAAGGAAGUUUGCAAACCGGGAGCACUCAAACCGGAAGGUAGCGUGAGGCUCGGGGGUGGAUUCUUAUAAAGCAGCUCAUAUGGUGAGAAGGCAGUGGCUGUGUGUUCUUCCAGGGUUUGGUCCUAAAGCUAGAAUUUUCUUAAGUCAAAGGGAAUUGGUCAGUGGUUACCUCAUACCAACCUUGGGAAACAGUUCAAGUUUUGCUUGUGACUUCCAGAGGCGCAAGCAAAGGACUGACCCAGGUCCAGUCAGUCUUGCAAAAUAAUCUAAAUUAAGCUUUGUUUGUAUGACCAAAGUGGUUUCCUCUGCUCAGGGCAUUUUCACGGCUGUGUUUUUUAUUCAACGGCCUCCUCCCUCAUGGAUCAGAGGUGGGCACGUGACGCCCUGAGACCCAGGGCGGCCUCUCCCAGAACCCCUGGGAAACAGCUCUUCAGGCUCCUCCAUGGAUCCCCAGGGCCUGGGCCGCCAUAUUGGUACGCUUGGCCAAGGACCUGGGAAUGGAUCUCCAGGGGAGGCAGAACCACAGGGAGUCCUUGUGCUGUGAGCAAUGGAACCUGCCUGUUCUCCUCCUCCUUUGCAGCAAUGGAGCCUUUCCUUUCCUGUCCUUGCUUACUCCAGUUUUGACCAAGGUUUCCGUCACAUGUGGCAAAGAAUCCUAAGUGAUCACGUGGAAGGGAGAAGUCUUCUUAACCUGUGUUUGUACCAGGACCAGAGAUCCUUCUCCACAGUCGCCGUGGCCCGGUGUUGUCUAUGAGGCCAAAGCGUGUCGCCGCUGGGUGCCCCUCAGCAUGUGUGUAGAAUAUUGGAAGUCCUCCUGGGCUGUGGGAGCGCAUUGGCUCCUCAGAAGGGGACGACAGAACUUACCGGAAUUUGUCCUUGAGAUGCCCAAGGGUCUGAGUCGGACAUGCUGAGGUUUUAUCCCCAAAGUUAAGAUUUCAUUCGCAAAUAAGUUUAUACAAAAGCACUAGGGGACGGUACACUUUAAAUCCAAGCACAAAAUAUAUCCAGUUUAGUAAACUGGGACCCAUAUUUUGAAAAGAAGGAGAAAAUAUUCUACUGGAAACAAAGGAAUUCAAAUAUACAAAGUGAUGUUUACCCACCAGUUGAUUUUGAAAGGUUAGAGACGUGGCCUUUUUUACAUGGAAAUAUACUCUUACCACGUCAUUUAAAAAAUUCCUUAGCCUCUCUUCAGCCUUUUAUUAUGAAAUAUUCAACCUACAGAAAAGUUGCAAAAAUAAUCGGAUGAAUGUCUACGUAUCCUUCACCUAGAUUAACCAAUUGCUAAUGUUUUUCCGUACUUGUUCCAGAUCCAUCGGUAUGUGACACACACAUGCCUAUGUCCGCAGGCAAAAAUUACACACACACACACACACACACACACACAUUCACACACACGCUCUCGCACAUAUGCUCACAUAAGUACUUUUUCUGAUGGACAAUCUGAGAGUUAAUUGCAGACAUCAUGACACCUCACCACCGAAUACUUUAGCAUCUGUCUCCUAAAAAAAAAAAAUCAAUUAAUUGCCACACUCAGGAAAGUUAACACUGAAAUAAUGCCGUUACCUAAAUAGAUGGUCCGUAGUCACAUUUUUCUGUUUGUGCUGAUAAUGUCCUUCGGGGCUGGGGUUUGCUGCUGUUGCUUUUUGUUCUUGUAUUUUUCUAAAUCUGGGAUCCAACCAAAUAUCAUGCAUUCAUUUAUUAAUAUUUUACUUUUGAAUGUUAUUCUACAGCCUUUUCUCUUGUUUUUAAUAAAGGAACUUGGGUUAUAGUAAAACCAGUAUUUAUUCCAUCGAUUACUUACUUUCUAUCA